rnacentral:tRNA from 1 species
GUCCUAAUAAUUUAAUAAAAAUAUUGGUUUUGUAAACCAAAAUUAGGCUAAGCCUUUAGAACA